UCACAGUUUCACGCGCGAGCUGGACAGAUGGUCGAGGCAGGAGGCAGAGCGCGCGCACAGAAACGAGAUCGGAAUGUGUUGUUGGGACAUGGCAGCAGAGUCCUCGUGUCCUUAAGACGCACACGGAACAAGACAGAGGGACACGGUGUCUACGGUCAAGAUUUGAAGUUUGUAACGCGGUAAAGGGAUGAAAAGUGAGUCCGAUGUGAAACUCCAGUGAGGCUGCAGUCAUGGAUUUAUUCAAACAGCAGAGAGUGGAGGAUUUCUACGACAUCGGUGAAGAGUU